UCUGGAACUGGAACAGGAGCUGGCAUUGGGGCACCAGCAAGGGUGGAAUUUGUAGGGGAUGAUGCUGCAAACCAAACUGAUGUAGAUGAUUGGGCGGAGGGCCGUCAACCAUUUGAGCGGCGCCACACGGUGCCAAGGAGCUUCCAGCCCAACGCCACCACCACCAGCGUGGAGGUGGCCAUGAUGUUCUAAGGUGAUGAUGCUGUACGACACGGUGGUGCGUCUGGCCCACUCCGAGCGAACUGGCCUCGCCGCUCCUGCUCCCUACAGCUGAGCCGCAGCCCCUGGAGCCUCUCCGACGGACGCAUGGCGCCGCAACCUGAAGCAGUGGCUCCUCGUGAGGUCAUGCCCGAGGUGGAGGAGAUCCAGUAUGAAGAUGGGGGAGACCUGACAGUUCACCGGACUUCUCUGUUCCCUCGAGGAUCACCUUUAACAGGCCGUUCAUGCUCAUAACCUACGGCCAUCUCACGGGGAGAAUUAUUGAUCCUACAAAUGUCUACAGCGGGGUGAACAGCGUAGCUUUAUUGGGCUUUGCUAUUGAUAUAACACUGCGUUCACUUAUAUUACUCGAUUUGUUUUUCCCCCCCAACAGAAUGGUGUAUCAUUCUGGGGAAAAACAUUUUCCUGCAAUUAUAUCAGCAUGCAGAGUGCUUUGUUUUACCUUCAAUUUUCCAAACCAUUACAGCCUGAUUUACAGUUUCUUUCCCCCCUAUUUGCACAAAAUUAUGAAAAGAAAUUCAAAUUGAAGUAAUUUAUCUGUAUGACUGAAUCGCUUUCUACUCUUGCAAAAGCAUAAAACCC
ensembl:lncRNA